CAGCAGCCGCGGGAAAACGGAGGGAGCUAGCGUUGUUCGGAAUCACUGGGCGUAAAGCGCACGUAGGCGGCUAUUCAAGUCAGGGGUGAAAGCCCGGGGCUCAACCCCGGAACUGCCUUUGAAACUAGAUAGCUUGAAUCUUGGAGAGGCGAGUGGAAUUCCGAGUGUAGAGGUGAAAUUCGUAGAUAUUCGGAAGAACACCAGUGGCGAAGGCGACUCGCUGGACAAGUAUUGACGCUGAGGUGCGAAAGCGUGGGGAGCAAACAGGAUUAGAUACCCCUGUAGUCCCUGUCUCUUAUAC
rnacentral:rRNA from 1 species